rnacentral:rRNA from 1 species
CCUACGGGGGGCAGCAGUGAGGAAUAUUGGUCAAUGGACGAGAGUCUGAACCAGCCAAGUAGCGUGAAGGAUGACUGCCCUAUGGGUUGUAAACUUCUUUUAUAUUGGAAUAAAAUGUUCCACGUGUGGGAUUUUGUAUGUACCAUAUGAAUAAGGAUCGGCUAACUCCGUGCCAGCAGCCGCGGUAAUACGGAGGAUCCGAGCGUUAUCCGGAUUUAUUGGGUUUAAAGGGAGCGUAGGUGGAUUGUUAAGUCAGUUGUGAAAGUUUGCGGCUCAACCGUAAAAUUGCAGUUGAAACUGGCAGUCUUGAGGACAGUAGAGGUGGGCGGAAUUCGUGGUGUAGCGGUGAAAUGCUUAGAUAUCACGAAGAACUCCGAGUGCGAAGGCAGCUCACUGGACUGCAACUGACACUGAGGCUCGAAAGUGUGGGUAUCGAACAGGAUUAGAUACCCGGGUAGUC